AGCUCUAAUAGCGUAUAUUAAAUUUGUUGCGGUUGAAAAGCUCGUAGUUGGAUCUCGGCGUCCGUCGGUCGACGGUCGGCCCACUGGGUCUGCACCGUUGGCUCGGGCGUCCAUUUUGUCGGUUGUCCGUCGGGUUCUUAACUGAGCUCGGCGAGGCUCCGACACUUUUACUUUGAGUAAAUUAGAGUGUUCAAAGCAGGCGAAGCAUUCGGCCACUGAAUACUUGAGCAUGGGAUAAUGGAAUAGGACUAUCGGUUCUAUUUCGUUGGUUUCUAGGACCGAAGUAAUGAUUAAUAGGGACAGUUGGGGGCAUUCGUAUUUAAUUGUCAGAGGUGAAAUUCUUGGAUUUGUUAAAGACGAACUAGUGCGAAAGCAUUUGCCAAGGAUGUUUUCAUUAAUC
rnacentral:rRNA from 1 species